rnacentral:lncRNA from 1 species
CUUGGGGCCUGUUUGUUUCGAGGGAAGUGGGGUGGAAGUGGGACGGGGGAAGUGAUUUUCGGUGAAAACUGACCACUUCCGCUGUUUGGUUCACCGUAAUUUUAUUACGCCCGAAAGUCCAAUUCACCUAAACUAGUGAACUUGACUUCGCCCUCCCAUGGGGCGAAGUCAAUUCCGGUGAAGUGAAAAAAAAUGCAAGAAUGAAUUGAUGUGUUAGGAUUACCUCUUCUAAAAUAUGAUCAAAUUUGAUUAGGUAAACUUUAAUAUAUUUUUUGUUUAAUUUGUAUAUUUAGAAAAUGAUGAAAAAUGAAUUUGUUAAAUGUUAAUAAUUUUUUAACUUUAGAAUUUUAUUUGUUGCAUUAUUAUAAUUUAUAUGCAAACAAAUAAUAUAUUUUUUAAAAAUUUUAUUUUAUAAUUAUACAUAUAUAUAAUUAUAUACAUAUAUAAUUAUAUUAAUUUUUAUUUAUUAUAAUAUAUUAUUCACUAUAAGUUACAAAAUAGACAAUGAUAUCACUUUGGGGGUAAGUAUACCGGGGGUGGAGAGCUACACUUUUUACGUCAUCUACUUCCUACCAAACAAACAACAGAACUCGCAGAACUGCACUUCCACAGUUAGAAACAAACAGCAGAAGUGAACUAAUUUUCACCCCAACUCCACUUCAACCCAAAGUCCACUUCCACCCCAAGUCUACUUACGUUGAAACAAACAUACCCUUGGCGGAUAUAGAUAUUAAAAUACUGAUCAUUGAUAGUUUAAGCUUUUUAGAGAAUAACUAUUAUUGUGCAUGAUAUCAGAGCAGAAAGACUAUAUCUUGAGUCCAUACACAAGUCGCGAGUCCAAGCAUGAAAUGAAUAUAAAUAUUAAUAGCGGUUGUUUCACAAAUCAUUUUUGUAGUCUUUUUUGUUUUUGUAGAAGUAGUAGUAGUAUUUUGUUGCGCUUGAAAAUAUACCUUGGUCACUCUCAAGUAAUUUAUUCUUAUUGUCUGGUCUAAUAUGUUACAUCUGCUUAAAAGGUGCAGCACACAAGCUUUAGAAAAGGGAGAGCAUGGAUCCUUUUUGAAAAAUGUUGC